UACGGAGGGUGCAAGCGUUAAUCGGAAUUACUGGGCGUAAAGCGCGCGUAGGCGGUUUUGUAAGUCGGAUGUGAAAGCCCCGGGCUUAACCUGGGAAUGGCAUUCGAUACUGCUCGACUAGAGUAUGGUAGAGGGAAGCGGAAUUCCGGGUGUAGCGGUGAAAUGCGUAGAUAUCCGGAGGAACACCAGUGGCGAAGGCGGCUUCCUGGACCAAUACUGACGCUGAGGCGCGAAAGCGUGGGGAGCAAAC
rnacentral:rRNA from 1 species